UAUUAUUUUAUCCGUUUGGAUAGUAAAAAAUAUUUUUUAAUUUUGCAGGAACUAUAGUUUUUGAGCAACUUUAUUGUGAUGGCAAGAAAAAGACAGAAAAAGUCCAGUCAAGAAAUACUUCUGCCUGAUUUUUCGGAGCAACAAGAAGAACAAAUGGGAGAUGCGGCGAUGCCUCAACCACCUUAAAACUGGCCACAAAAUGAAGGACAGGCUAUCCGAUCCGGUAAAUCAAGAAAUGAUUCACAUGAAACAGAAAAUUUCCUAGACUCUAGUGCUAAUGAAGAGCAAUCUAAGCGACCUAGGGGUCCUACUAUGAUGCACUCAGGAUGGG